GAUGAACGCUGGCGGCGUGCUUAACACAUGCAAGUCGAACGAUGAAGCCCAGCUUGCUGGGUGGAUUAGUGGCGAACGGGUGAGUAACACGUGAGUAACCUGCCCUUAACUCUGGGAUAAGCCUGGGAAACUGGGUCUAAUACCGGAUAGGAGCGUCCACCGCAUGGUGGGUGUUGGAAAGAUUUAUCGGUUUUGGAUGGACUCGCGGCCUAUCAGCUUGUUGGUGAGGUAAUGGCUCACCAAGGCGACGACGGGUAGCCGGCCUGAGAGGGUGACCGGCCACACUGGGACUGAGACACGGCCCAGACUACUACGGGAGGCAGCAGUGGGGAAUAUUGCACAAUGGGCGCAAGCCUGAUGCAGCGACGCCGCGUGAGGGAUGACGGCCUUCGGGUUGUAAACCUCUUUCAGUAGGGAAGAAGCGAAAGUGACGGUACCUGCAGAAGAAGCACCGGCUAACUACGU
rnacentral:rRNA from 1 species